GUUGGUCGCGGUGGCACGUGCCUGUAGUCCCAGCUGCUCGGGAGACUGAGGUGGGAGGAUCGCUUGAGCCCAGGAGUUCUGGGCUGCAGUGUGAUAUGCAGAUCGGGUGUCCACACUAAGUUCAGCAUCAAUAUGGUGACUUCCCAGGAGCGGGGGACCACCAGGUUACCUAAGGAGGGGUGAACCAGCCCAGGUUGGAAACGGAGCAGGUCAAAACUCCCACGCAGUCAGUAGUGGGAUCGCCCCUGUGAAUAGCCACCACACUCCAGCCUGGGCAACACAGAGAGACCCUAUCUCU
rnacentral:SRP_RNA from 1 species